rnacentral:rRNA from 1 species
AGAGUUUGAUCCUGGCUCAGAAUGAACGCUGGCGGCGUGCCUAACACAUGCAAGUCGGAUGUGCCGCAAGGUGCAUGGCAGACGGGUGAGUAACGCGUAGGGAAUCUACCUCUUUGUGGGGAAUAACGCUCCGAAAGGAGUGGUAAUACCGCAUGAGACCGAGUGCUGGGAUGCAUUCGGUGAAACCUGGGGACCGCAAGGCCUGGGGCAAGGAGAGGAUCCUGCGUCUGAUUAGCUAGUUGGCGGGGUAAUGGCCCACCAAGGCGACGAUCAGUAGCCGGCCUGAGAGGGUGAUCGGCCGCACUGGAACUGAGACACGGUCCAGACUCCUACGGGAGGCAGCAGUGGGGAAUUUUGCGCAAUGGACGAAAGUCUGACGCAGCAACGCCGCGUGGGUGAUGAAGGUCUUCGGACUGUAAAACCCUGUCGUCAGGGACGAAGGUG